GAUGAACGCUGGCGGCGUGCCUAAUACAUGCAAGUCGAGCGAACAGACGAGGAGCUUGCUCCUCUGACGUUAGCGGCGGACGGGUGAGUAACACGUGGAUCACCUACCUAUAAGACUGGGAUAACUUCGGGAAACCGGAGCUAAUACCGGAUAAUAUAUUGAACCGCAUGGUUCAAUAGUGAAAGACGGUUUUGCUGUCACUUAUAGAUGGAUCCGCGCCGCAUUAGCUAGUUGGUAAGGUAACGGCUUACCAAGGCAACGAUGCGUAGCCGACCUGAGAGGGUGAUCGGCCACACUGGAACUGAGACACGGUCCAGACUCCUACGGGAGGCAGCAGUAGGGAAUCUUCCGCAAUGGGCGAAAGCUUGACGGAGCAACGCCGCGUGAGUGAUGAAGGUCUUCGGAUCGUAAAACUCUGUUAUUAGGGAAGAACAAAUGUGUAAGUAACUAUGCACGUCUUGACGGUACCUAAUCAGAAAGCCACGGCUAACUACGUG
rnacentral:rRNA from 1 species